rnacentral:tRNA from 2 species
GGUGACGUAGCCAAGCUGGUUAAGGCCGCGGUCUGCAAAACCGCUAUCACGGGUUCGAGUCCCGUCGUCACCU